GCGGGAGUAACUCAGUUGGCAGAGUGCCGGCCUUCCAAGCCGGUUGUCGCGGGUUCGAAUCCCGUCUCCCGCUCCA
rnacentral:tRNA from 1 species